rnacentral:rRNA from 1 species
AUUGAACGCUGGCGGCAGGCCUAACACAUGCCAGUCGAGCGGAAGAAGGGAGCUUGCUCCUGGAUUCAGCGGCGGACGGGUGAGUAAUGCCUAGGAAUCUGCCUGGUUGUGGGGGAUAACGUCCGGAAACGGGCGCUAAUACCGCAUACGUCCUGUGGGAGAAAGUGGGGGAUCUUCGGACCUCACGCUAUCAGAUGAGCCUAGGUCGGAUUAGCUAGUUGGUGGGGUAAAGGCCUACCAAGGCGACGAUCCGUAACUGGUCUGAGAGGAUGAUCAGUCACACUGGAACUGAGACACGGUCCAGACUCCUACGGGAGGCAGCAGUGGGGAAUCUUGGACAAUGGGCGAAAGCCUGAUCCAGCCAUGCCGCGUGUGUGAAGAAGGUCUUCGGAUUGUAAAGCACUUUAAGUUGGGAGGAAGGGCAGUAAGUUAAUACCUUGCUGUUUUGACGUUACCAACAGAAUAAGCACCGGCUAACUUCGUG